GGCAAGCUUCCUUCCCCACUGCCAAUAUCACCCUCUAGUUCCUUCCUUGCAGUGGCCAGGCAAUGUCAAAGACCAUGCCAAGGAGUGUCAACCAGGAACGCAUCUUCUUUCUUGAAAUACGUCGUGAAUCAGCAGGCAGGCCCCUCAAGACCCCAGCGAUGCAGCUUGCUGGGUCCAGCACACAGUAACCCAGAAACAUAUGUGGGCUGAGAACUCUGAUCACUAUGGUGAACCCUUUGGUUAUGAAGGUAAUGCAUAAUUCUACAGCACCCUGAUUAACAGUGUGGACCCUGGAGCCACUCUGCUGGGGCUAAGGUCCUGGCUGCCAUUUAAUUUGACCUUGGGUAAAGGCAAGAUCUGACUCUGCAUGACUAGCUCAGUUGCCUCUCCUGGUCCCAGCCUUGCUGAGUCCAUCAUCCCCAGAACUGACGUGGAACACAGGAAGCGUGGGCUACAGUGCCCAGUAGACAAAGAUUCCAUUCUGCUGUUUACCAUCUGAC